rnacentral:misc_RNA from 1 species
GAAAUGCGAUAAGUAAUGUGAAUUGCAGAAUUCAGUGAAUCAUCGAAUCUUUGAACGCAUAUUGCGCCCUCUGGUAUUCCGGAGGGCACACCUGUUCGAGCGCCGUAGUACAACUAAGGCUUUGCCUUGCGUUGGUCGCGGUCCAAGCCUUUGGUACGGAUCGGGCCGAAACUCUUGUGGCGCCGCCCUGCGGCUGGCUAUGCGCGAAAGCAGAAGUCAGUGGCAAGAGGCAGCGGCCGGUUUACACAGCACGCUUGGCCUCGGAUCAGGUGGGGAUACCCGCUGAACUUAAGC